GCCGCCAUGCCCGAGUGGUCAAACGGGCACGGUUGAGGGCCGUGUGGUGAGUCCUUCCCAGGUUCGAAUCCUGGUGGCGGCA
rfam:Halorubrum vacuolatum strain DSM 8800 genome assembly, contig: Ga0170423_122